AGAACGAACGCUGGCGGCAUGCCUAACACAUGCAAGUCGAACGUGAUCCAUGACUUCGGUUGUGGUGAAAGUGGCAAACGGGUGAGUAAUGCGUGGGAAUCUGCCCAGAGGUAGGGAAUAACCGCGGGAAACUGCGGCUAAUACCCUAUGUGCCCUACGGGGCAAAGAUUUAUCGCCUUUGGAGGAGCCCGCGUCGGAUUAGGUAGUUGGUAGGGUAACGGCCUACCAAGCCUACGAUCCGUAGCUGGUCUGAGAGGAUGAUCAGCCACACUGGGACUGAGAUACGGCCCAGACUCCUACGGGAGGCAGCAGUGGGGAAUAUUGGACAAUGGGGGCAACCCUGAUCCAGCAAUGCCGCGUGAGUGAUGAAGGCCUUCGGGUUGUAAAGCUCUUUCGGCGGGAAGAUGAUGACGGUACCCGCAGAAGAAGCCCCGGCUAACUUCGUGCCAGCAGCCGC
rnacentral:rRNA from 1 species